rnacentral:rRNA from 1 species
UACGGAGGUGGCAAGCGUUGCUCGGAAUUACUGGGCGUAAAGGGCUCGUAGGUGGCCAACUAAGUCAGACGUGAAAUCCCUCGGCUUAACCGGGGAACUGCGUCUGAUACUGGAUGGCUUGAGUUCGGGAGAGGGAUGCGGAAUUCCAGGUGUAGCGGUGAAAUGCGUAGAUAUCUGGAGGAACACCGGUGGCGAAGGCGGCAUCCUGGACCGAUACUGACGCUGAGGAGCGAAAGCCAGGGGAGCAAACGGG